rnacentral:rRNA from 1 species
UACGUAGGGUGCAAGCGUUGUCCGGAAUUAUUGGGCGUAAAGAGCUCGUAGGCGGUUUGUCGCGUCUGCUGUGAAAACGCGAGGCUCAACCUCGCGCCUGCAGUGGGUACGGGCAGACUGGAGUGCGGUAGGGGAGAUUGGAAUUCCUGGUGUAGCGGUGGAAUGCGCAGAUAUCAGGAGGAACACCGAUGGCGAAGGCAGAUCUCUGGGCCGUAACUGACGCUGAGGAGCGAAAGCGUGGGAGCGAACAGG